GAUGAACGCUGGCGGCGUGCCUAAUACAUGCAAGUCGAGCGAACGGACGAGAAGCUUGCUUCUCUGAUGUUAGCGGCGGACGGGUGAGUAACACGUGGAUAACCUACCUAUAAGACUGGGAUAACUUCGGGAAACCGGAGCUAAUACCGGAUGAUAUUUUGAACCGCAUGGUUCAAAAGUGAAAGACGGUCUUGCUGUCACUUAUAGAUGGAUCCGCGCUGCAUUAGCUAGUUGGUAAGGUAACGGCUUACCAAGGCAACGAUGCAUAGCCGACCUGAGAGGGUGAUCGGCCACACUGGAACUGAGACACGGUCCAGACUCCUACGGGAGGCAGCAGUGGGGAAUCUUCGGCAAUGGGCGAAAGCCUGACGGAGCAACGCCGCGUGAGGGAUGAAGGUCUUCGGGUCGUAAACCUCUGUUAUUAGGGAAGAACAUAUGUGGAAGUAACUGUGGAGAUCUUGACGGUACCUAAUCAGAAAGCCACGGCUAACUACGUG
rnacentral:rRNA from 1 species